UACAGAGGGUGCAAGCGUUGUUCGGAAUUAUUGGGCGUAAAGGGAGUGUAGGCGGUCCAUUAAGUCUUCUGUGAAAUCUACGGGCUUAGCCUGUAACGUGCAGAGGAAACUGGUGGACUUGAGUGUCGGAGAGGAUAGGGGAAUACCCGGUGUAGAGGUGAAAUUCGUAGAGAUCGGGUGGAACACCAGUGGCGAAGGCGCCUAUCUGGCUGACAACUGACGCUGAGACUCGAAAGCAUGGGGAGCAAACGGG
rnacentral:rRNA from 1 species